UUUCCGUAGGUGAACCUGCGGAAGGAUCAUUAAAGUUAUAGUCCCCCGGCCCUCCGGCCGGGGUCCUCUAUACCACCCUUUGUUUAUCACACCUUUGUUGCUUUGGCAGGCCUGCCCUCGGGCUGCUGGCUCCGGCCGGCGAGCGCCUGCCAGAGGACCUAAACUCUGUUUGUCUAUAAUGUCUGAGUACUAUAUAAUAGUUAAAACUUUCAACAACGGAUCUCUUGGCUCUG
rnacentral:misc_RNA from 1 species